CGUACACUCCUGCGGGAGGCAGCAGUGGGGAAUAUUGGACAAUGGGCGCAAGCCUGAUCCAGCCAUGCCGCGUGAGUGAUGAAGGCCCUAGGGUUGUAAAGCUCUUUCACCGGUGAAGAUAAUGACGGUAACCGGAGAAGAAGCCUCGGCUAACUUCGUGCCAGCAGCCGCGGUAAUACGAAGGGGGCUAGCGUUGUUCGGAUUUACUGGGCGUAAAGCGAACGUAGGCGGACUAUUAAGUCAGGGGUGAAAUCCCGGGGCUCAACCCCGGAACUGCCUUUGAUACUGGUAGUCUUGAGUUCGAGAGAGGUGAGUGGAAUUCCGAGUGUAGAGGUGAAAUUCGUAGAUAUUCGGAGGAACACCAGUGGCGAAGGCGGCUCACUGGCUCGAUACUGACGCUGAGGUGCGAAAGCGUGGGGAGCAAACAGGAUUAGAAACCCGUGUAGUCCCAUG
rnacentral:rRNA from 1 species